rnacentral:miRNA from 1 species
UUCCCUCCCACUGGCCGGGGGGGAUUCCCUCCGGUCAUCGAGACUGUACAGUCUCAAUGACCGGAAGGAAUCCCUUCCGGCCAUUGAGAUUGUA